rfam:Beta vulgaris subsp. vulgaris Bvchr3.sca003.con0109.1, whole genome shotgun sequence.
UGGCUGAGGAUGAUAAUUACAUUUAUCUUAGCGGAUUUCAGUGAGAUUGAUAAUCUAUGAUCUGAUUGUUACACACACUGAAGCCG